rnacentral:lncRNA from 1 species
CAAAAUAGAAAAUCUUACCUGUUUUUUUUGGAUAGGUAAUUUUUUUUUCUUUUAUUUAUUUAUUUUGUUAUUUUUGUCAUUAUUUGUGACUUCAACCUGGAACCUCCCAUAAACCCACCCCAACCUUGCCAUGCCUCAAGGGUAAAAUAGAAAAUGUUACCUGUGUUGAAUAUGCAUGGGACAUAGCCUUUAAAGGAUUAUUGUAUAGGUUCAAAACAAUUGUUACUCUUUCCUUCUGAAAAGAAAAUAGGCUGUUGAUAAAACGUGAGAAUGUGGGCCAUUAACAUCAAAUGGAUGUCUAAUGAAUGUUUUUUUUUUUUAUCAGAAACGAAGAGAAAUAUAUUAAUAAAAGGAAAGAUACAGGAGAAAGAAAAGAAAAAAGAAACAAAAGAAACCACUAGAAGGAUGAGAGGUCCUUCCUACACAAUCUGAACAACAGAAAAAACACCCAACAUUAGCUAAAAACAAAGAGAAACCCCCACAAACUCAAACUUUUGAAGCACAAACCUCACUCCAGUUGAGUUGUAACACAUUUAGAGGAACUCCUCUAAAAGCUGCAGAACAAGAAGCCUAAAGAGAGGAAUAGAACAAAAUCAAAUCCCAUAACGUCUCUUCCGAUCUCCCCUUAUCCUCAAAAAUCCUAUUGUUUCGCUCUUGCCACACUAUCCAAACCAAAGUAAGGCAAGCAACUUGACAAAGAGUCUUGCCUCUUAAGGAGUUCCCCAAGCCUUUAAAAGCGAUAACCAACAUGUCCUCAAAACUCCUUGGAGGGACCCAAACCAACCCAGCUAGCUUGAACAACUUGUUCCAGAGUCCAAUGGUAACAGGACAAUGAAGAAAAAGGUGAUCAAUCGACUCUCCAUUUCCUUUGCAAAGAAUGCACCAUUGAGGAUAGAGGGACUUGUAGGGUCUUCUCAAUUGCAACUUAUCAUUGGUGUUCACCUUCCCAUGAGCUACUAUCCAAGCGAGGGCCUUAACCUUUGAAGGGGCUUUUGAACUCCACAAAAACUUGGCCGGAAGGAACAAAAUAGGAUUAGAGACUUUUGACAAGGCCAAGAAAAAAGAUUUCACUGAAAGCAAGCCUGAUGAAGACAAAGACCACACUCUAGAAUCUGCCAAAGAAGGAGAGAAACACACUGAACUGAGGGAGGACAUUAAUCUCUGAAGGAGAUCAAUUUCUGAAUCGGUAAGAUUGCGGCGAAAAUUUAAAUUCCAAGCCAAUGGAAAGGAAUUGCCAAGGACAUUUGAAACAGUGAGGUUUUUCACAGAAAUAACUCUAUAAAGAUUAGCAAAUUGCGAGCACAAAGAUUGGUUACCCCACCAAAGAUCUUCCCAAAAGCGAAUUCUCUCCCCAUUGCCCACCACUAGGUGAACAAAAGGGGAAAAUUCUUGGAAAACUUGAGCAAUAGCCUUCCAAGGACAUCUGUGUGACCAUCUAACCACCAUGUUGGCGUCCCAUCCAUUAGGAUGUGUCCCAUAUAUACUCACUAUAACCUUAUGCCAAAGACCACUCCUUUCUCUAGGGAACCUCCAAAGCCAUUUCCCUAAGAGAGCAAUAUUUCUCAAAGAAAUCUUCCCAAAACCCAAACCUCCCAACUCCUUUGGUCUGCUAACAACCUCCCAUUUGACAAGAUGAUCUUUCUUCCCUUCCCUUGCCCCAGACCACAGAAAAUUCCCUUGCAUCUUCUCAAUCUUUGAAGCAAUUGAAGCUGAGAUUUUAAAGAGGGAGAGGAAGUAACUAGGGAUGUGAGACAAACAAGACUGAAUUAAAGUAAUCCUCCCUCCCAAAGAUAAAUAGGCCUUUUUCCAACCAUCCAACCUUCUCGAAAUUCUCUCAACCACCGGGUCCCAAAAGCCUAUUGUCUUUGGGUUCCCUCCCAAUGGAAGACCUAAAUAAGAUAAAGGCCACUCAGACACUCUACAAUAAAAAACCGAGGUCAGACUAGACAAUAGCUCCUGUCUAGUGUUAAUACCUGAAAUGGUGCUUUUCUCUAAGUUGAUUUUUAAACCAGAAACUUGCCCGAAAACCAAAAGGAUAAUCUUGAGGUUUUGAAGAUGUUCCAGAGAGGCUUUAGAGAAAAUGAUAGUGUCAUCUGCAAACUGUAACAAAGACACUCUUGUCCUAUCCCUCCCCACAGAAAAACCCUCAGUAAGCCCAGUUUCCUCUGCUCUGAACAACAACCUACUUAGAACAUCUGCCACUAAAGUAAAAAGGAAAGGAGAGAGAGGGUCUCCUUGUCUCAAACCUCUAGAAGCCUUAACCCAACCCUUUGCAUUCCCAUUAACUAGGAUUGUAAAACUAGAAGAAGACAAACAACCCCUUAUCCACGAUCUCCAUUUCUGGCUGAACCCCUUCCUUUGAAGCACAUGAUCUAAGAAGCCCCAAUCCACAUGAUCAUAGGCCUUUUCAAAAUCGAUUUUGAAAACAAUUCCUUCCUUCCCUGACCUUCUUUUCUCAUCCACCACUUCAUUGGCUAUCAACGCAACAUCUAGAAUGUGUCUCCCUUCAACAAAGGCUCCUUGAGAACCAGAGAUUGUUUCAUGAAGAACUUUGCGUAAACGCCCUGAUAAGACCUUAGCAAUUAUCUUAUACAAACUUGUAACCAAGCUAAUAGGUCUAUAAUCUGAGAUUUUAAAAGAUUGACUUUUCUUAGGCACCAAAGCAAUGAAGGUCGCAUUUGUACUUUGGUUUAUUACCCCAUUGGUGUGGAAUUCGAGAAACACCCUCAUAAGAUCCUCUUUUAUCACAUCCCAACACUCUUGAUAAACUGCAAUAGUAAAACCAUCAGGACCAGGGGCCUUUUCCUUAUUCAAUUGGAAAACUGCCAUGCGAACCUCCUCUUCAGUAAAAGGCCUAUCCAGCCAAACUCCACUCUCUCCAAAAAUAGGGACCCAGUCAAUUCCUUCAACCCUCCAAGACUCACCUACAGGUUUGGAAUAAAGAUUCCCAAAGAAAUUAACAAUCUCCUCAGAAAUAACCUCAAUGCUGUUUAAAGUCUCCCCCCUCUCAGAAAUCAGAGACUUAAUGAACUUCCUACUUCUCCUACCUGUGGCCACUCUAUGAAAGAAUUUAGAGUUACAAUCCUCUUCUUUAAUCCACUUAACCCUAGAUUUUUGUCUCCAUUGAACCUCUUCCUUUAAUAACACAUCCUCUAACUCCCUUCUUCUUAAGGUCCUUUCUAACACCAAAUCAAGAUUCAAAUUCCCUUCUUGUUCAAUUAGAUCAAUUCUACCUAAGUCCGUAAGAAUGAGCUUUUUUUUCUCUUUUAAAUCACCAAAGGCCACUAUAUUCCACUCUUUCAACUUUGACUUAACAAACUUUAAUUUCCUCAUAAACUUAUGACCUUCCCACCCUUCAUCCGUACACUCUUGCCACCAAACUCUAAACUUCUCCUUAAACUCAGGAUGGAGCAACCACAUAUUCUCAAACCUAAAAGGAGUCGGACCCCACUUUAAAGGAUUAGUUUCCAAACAAAUAGGGCUAUGGUCAGAGGUCCAUCUAGGAAGCGCCUCUUGAAAACUUUGAGAGAAAAAGGUAUCCCACUCAGAAGAAAACAAGAACCUAUCCAAUCUCUUACAAAUAGGAUCAACUUGCAUGUUUGACCAUGUAAAAGCCGCAUUCCUUAAAGGGGGGUCAAGCAAGCCACUCUCCCUUAUAAACUCAUCAAAACACCUCAUGUUGAAAGUUAAUCCGGUCUCACCCAAUUUCUCAAAUAUCCUCCUAAUAACAUUAAAAUCCCCUCCUACACACCACCUUGGGAAUGUUAGACCAUAUAGGUCUUGAAGCUCCAACCAAAAGUCCUUCCUCCACAAUGGAUUAAUCGGGCCAUACACUGAAGUUAACCAAAAAGAUCCUUCCUCACCAGAGUUAAACUUCACAGUUACAGAAAAGGAUCCUAACACCUUCUCUGUACACUCGAACUUACUAGAAUCCCACAAAAUCACAAUCCCCCCUGAAGCCCCACAGGCUGGAAGAGCAGCCCACUCCAAUCUCUUGCCUUUCCAAACAUUGCUCAUAAACCUCUAGUCCCAAGUUUCCCUCUUUGUUUCCUGAAGCAUCACAAUAUCUAGAUUUUGAGUACUUAAAAACCUUCUUACAGUCCUCCUUUUCUUCUUGGAUCCUAAUCCUCUCGUAUUCCAGCUUAAAAUCUUCAUAUAAACCAAAAACAACCCAGCACAACUAGCACCCAAACCUAAUCCUCUCCUUGGUUUCCAGAAGCAUUUUUCCUCUUCCUUUUGAAAUAAACCUUGUCUGCCAAAGAAUUACUCUGGUUUUCUUCUUCCGCACCUUUUCCAUUUUCUCUGACAAUUCUGAUCCUCAAACUCUCCAAAACCGACUGAACCUUGACCAUUUUUCCAGGCGUGAGUCCCUCAACCUGAAAACCUUCCAACGGGAGGAUGGGAGGUUCUGGGUUUGGGGACAGAGCCUUCCCUGAGACACAAAGCUUCUCUGGGCUACUUAGAGAAUCCUUAAAUAAAGGCCAGUCUUCAGAAUUUCGGUUAGAGGUUUCUAGGGGAAACGCCACUCCUUCAGAACGGGACACGCUAACAGGACGACUGGGCUCAACAAUAGCAAAUUUCGGAAAGGGACUACACUGAGAGACAAGGCUUGACUCCAACGGAAUGGAGAAAAAGCCUGACAUCGAGAAGGAAGAACCGAAGAAACAGAGGAGUCGGAAAGAAUAUUUGGAUUAAAAGCCCCAACCAAAGGAAGACCCUUCUCAGAGAGAGCUAAGGAAGGAGGACGUACCUUUUUUACCCAGUUGCAAAGCGAGAUCCCUUCGUCUCCCUCUAUCCCCCCGGUGAAGUGUCGAGAUUUUUUUGAAACAGGAGAAAGGGCUCCAUUUUUGAAGACUGAUCUGCCCCAAAUAAAGCCUCGAUUUGCUUCCGGUGCGCCAUCCCCAUCUAGGUUGCGCUUUGGGGCAAGAGACUUCACCUUUAGGCUCGGUGGCCAACUCCUCGCCUUGCGUCUUGCAGUAACUGAGUUGCCUUUUAACUUUGCUGACUCUUGAAAAUGUGCUAUCGGCAUCACCUCCUUUGCAGAGGUUCCUGAUCGCUGAAGCUUUGAAGACGAAGGCGUUGCUGGGCCACCAUUAGAAGACCCUGCUUCAGUUUCGUGGACUGGACCCACAAAAGGCCCAAUGUUCUUCUCCUCAAAAUGGGCCUUAGCAAAACGGCCUUUAAAAAAGGCUUCUGGUUUUGUUGGCCCGUCAACACUUCCCGCCGUUGGGCCCAAACAGCUCUUCCCCCUUCCUUUCUCCACUUUAGUAGCUGAAUUUGAAACUGAAGACCGAGCACGGGAGCGAUGACGAGGCCUCCAUCUGUGGUACUCAUUAUCCCUAGCAGUAGCUCGUAGCCCUUCAACGUUCUUUGGCCUCUGAUAGACGUAACCUUCCGCUGACGUUACUUCGUCCUUGCUGCGAUUUGACUCUGGCCUGAGAAGAACGUCUUCUUCAGCUUCUCCGAUGACGAAAACUGCAACCGUAAAUGACCAGGCUCCAUCUUCCACCUCUAGCAACGCUGGUAGCACGACAUUUGGAUGCAUCUCCACCCACAUCUUUACCUUCGACAAGUCUACGAGCUUCAGAGUUUCCUUUGCCACCUUCGUUACCCUCCCCCAUUUCUGCAAAAUGUACCUCAACUGAAACUCAUCCCAUAGAUGGAAAGGAAGGCCUCUCAGUUCUAACCAACCCCUUCUAAACUUGCCACCAACAACAGAGUUUUCUUUUGGCGACCAUCUCCUCAACGCAACAACCCCUCCUCUCACUGUUAAACUCCCUUGAUCUUGAAACCACAUAGCUCUCCUUGCAAAAUCCACAAAAAAGCACCCCUUGUAUUCGGAAAUGGGAGUUACAGACACCAUCCCUUUCGUACCCAUCAUCCUCGUAAUAACUUUCCCUACAUCAAACCAAUCCAGUAUUUUUCCUUUACUUUCACAAAUUACAGCUCUUGCCCAUUUUCCAACUGGCACCGAAGCUCCGUUUCUAUGUCCUUCCUCUGCAACCACAUCUGCAUAGGACCGCCCUUCUCUGUACAUUCCUUUGCUCACCUGAGACUCUUUAUCCUUCUCCUUCGAGGCUCUUACAGCCUGAUCAGACACAUCUUGGACUCUAGAAAUCGCCUUCCUAAGAAGCCUCCAACUCCACAGCUUUCUUCAAAUGUUCCAACAACCAAUCCUACUCCUCCUCUCCAAAGCCUAACGAAACAACAAAACCUCGACUUCUCUCUGUUAUUGAAAUCCACAUUCCCCCAUUGAUGCCUUCAAACUUUACCUGAAAAGCCUUUCUUUCCACGUCAAAUCUUUCCAUCACUCCCAACACAACAGCAGCUAUUAACCAAGGAGAAACCCUACCUCAUCAGCUGAUUGGUAGUGAAGAUCUUCUCUCAAAUGCCUCUCAAAACGCAUUCAUAAUAUUGAACGCCACAUCCUUGAUAGAUUUCAUUGAGUGGCUAUGUACUAAGUAUUAUAUUAGUAUUGUGAAAGAGUCUAAUCUUCCAUCUAAAACUUUCAACCGAAUGUGAUUUUUUGGAAGCACAAAAAGAUUAUGCUCUAAUGAAUGUUUUGAUUCCCUUAGUUUUUGUGAUCUGGAGCUGGCCUUAUUAAGUUUGAUUUUCAGGG